UACGUAGGUGGCAAGCGUUGUCCGGAUUUACUGGGUGUAAAGGGCGUGCAGCCGGAGAGACAAGUCAGAUGUGAAAUCCACGGGCUCAACUCGUGAACUGCAUUUGAAACUGUUUCCCUUGAGUGCCGGAGAGGUAAUCGGAAUUCCUUGUGUAGCGGUGAAAUGCGUAGAUAUAAGGAAGAACACCAGUGGCGAAGGCGGAUUACUGGACGAUAACUGACGGUGAGGCGCGAAAGCGUGGGGAGCAAACAGG
rnacentral:rRNA from 1 species